CCUGGUGGAUCUUGCCAGUAGUCAUAUGCUUGUCUCAAAGAUUAAACCAUGCAUGUAUAAGUAUGAACUAAUUCAGACUGUGAAUGACUGAUUAGAUCAGUUAUAGCUUGUUUGAUGGUAUCUACUACUCGGAUAACCGUAGUAAUUCUAGAGCUAAUACGUGCAACAAAUCCUGACUUCUGGAAGGUAUGCAUUUAUAAGAUAAAAGGAAAAUGUGGGCUUUGCCCAUUGUAUCGAUGAUUCAUGAUAACUCGACGGAUCGCAUAGCCCUUGUGCUGGCGACGCAUCAUUCAAAUAUUUGCCCAAUCAACUUUUGAUGGUAGGAUAAUGGCCUACCAUGGUGGUAACGGGUGACCGAGAAUUAGGGUUCGGUUACGGAGAGGGAGCCUGAGAAAUGGCUACCACAUUCAAGGAAGGUAGCAUGCGCACAAAUUACCCAAUCCUGACACGGGGAGGUAGUGAUAAUAAAUAACAAUACCGGGCUCUAUUAGUCUGGUAAUUAGAAUGAGUACAAUCUAAAUCCCUUAACAAGGAUCCGUUGAAGGGCAAGUCUGGUGCUAGUAGCCUCAGUAAUUCUAGCUCCGAUAGCAUAUAUUUCUGUUGUUGUAGUUAUAAAGCUCGUAGUUAGACCUUGGGUUAGGUCGACCAAUCCGCCUUUCGGUGUGUAUCGGUCUGCUCAUCCCUUCUACUGGCGAUAUGCUCCUAGCCUUAAUUGGAGUGCUCAAAGUAAGCCUAUGCUCUAGAUACAUUAGUAUAGGAUAACAUCUUAGGAUUUUGGUCCUAUUCUGUUGGCAUUCAAGGUCAGAGUAAUAAUUAACAGGGACAGUCAAGGGAAUCCGUACUUCAUAGUCAGAGGUGAAAUUCUUGGAUUUAUGAAAGAUGAAAAACUGUGAAAGUAUUUUCCAAGGAUGUUUUCAUUAAUCAAGAAUUAAAGUUGGGGACUUGAAGACGAUCAAAUACCAUCCUAGUCUCAACAAUUCCCAAUGCCGACCAGGGAUCAGCGGGUGUAUGUUACUAUUAGGACUCCGCUGACACUUGAUGAGAAAACAAAGUUUUUGGGUUCCGGAUGGAGUAUGGUUACAAGGGUGAAAUUUAAAGGAAUUGUCCAAAGGGCACCACUAGAAGUGGAGCCUGCGCUUAAUUUGACUUAACACAGGGAAAAUUACCAUGUCCAGACAUAGUAAGGAUUUACAAACUAAUAGCUCUUUCUUGAUUCUAUGGGUGGUAGUGAAUGGCCAUUCUUAGUUGGUAGAGCGAUCUGUCUAGUUAAUUCCACUAACGAACGAAACCUCAGCCUGCUAACUAGCUAUGCGGAGGUUUCCUCCACGACCAGCUUUUUAGAUGGACUAUGGCCGCUUAGGCCAAGGAAGUUUGAGGCAAUAAUAGGUCUGUGAUGCCCUUAGAUGGUCUGGGCCGCACGCGCGCUACGCUGAUGUAUUCAACGAGUCUAUAGCCUUGGCGGGCAGACCCGGAUAAUCUUUAAAAUGUCAUCAUGAUGGGGACAAAUCAUUGCAAUUUUUGGUCUUCAACGAGGAAUUCCUUGUAAGCACGAGUCAUCAGCUUGCGUUGACUACAUCUUUGCCUUUUAUACACACCGCUCGUCGCUCCUAUCGUUUGAAUGGUCUGCUGAAGUUUUUGGAUAGUGGCGACAUAGAUGGUUCGUUGUCCGUGAUGUUGCGAGAAGUUCACUAAACCUAAUCAUUUAGAGAAAGGAGAAUUCGUAACAAGGUUUCCGUAGGUGAACCUGCAGAAU
rnacentral:rRNA from 1 species